GGAAGGGUCGCAUAGUGGCCUAGUGCGCACGCUUGGAAAGCGUGUAAGGGAGACCUUCGGGGGUUCGAAUCCCCCCCCUUCCG
rnacentral:tRNA from 2 species